rnacentral:piRNA from 1 species
UNGGUUGUCUGGUAGACAGGAGAGCCUAGC